GAUGAACGCUGGCGGCGUGCCUAAUACAUGCCAGUCGAGCGAACAGAUAAGGAGCUUGCUCCUUUGACGUUAGCGGCGGACGGGUGAGUAACACGUGGAUAACCUACCUAUAAGACUGGGAUAACUUCGGGAAACCGGAGCUAAUACCGGAUAACAUAUUGAACCGCAUGGUUCAAUAGUGAAAGGCGGCUUUGCUGUCACUUAUAGAUGGAUCCGCGCCGUAUUAGCUAGUUGGUAAGGUAACGGCUUACCAAGGCAACGAUACGUGGCCGACCUGAGAGGGUGAUCGGCCACACUGGAACUGAGACACGGUCCAGACUCCUACGGGAGGCAGCAGUAGGGAAUCUUCCGCAAUGGGCGAAAGCCUGACGGAGCAACGCCGCGUGAGUGAUGAAGGUCUUCGGAUCGUAAAACUCUGUUAUCAGGGAAGAACAAAUGUGUAAGUAACUGUGCACAUCUUGACGGUACCUGAUCAGAAAGCCACGGCUAACUACGUG
rnacentral:rRNA from 1 species